CCUACGGGAGGCAGCAGUGGGGAAUUUUGGACAAUGGGCGCAAGCCUGAUCCAGCAAUGCCGCGUGCAGGAUGAAGGCCUUCGGGUUGUAAACUGCUUUUGUACGGAACGAAACGGUGAGCUCUAAUACAGUUUGCUAAUGACGGUACCGUAAGAAUAAGCACCGGCUAACUACGUGCCAGCAGCCGCGGUAAUACGUAGGGUGCGAGCGUUAAUCGGAAUUACUGGGCGUAAAGCGUGCGCAGGCGGUGAUGUAAGACAGAUGUGAAAUGCCCGGGCUCAACCUGGGACCUGCAUUUGUGACUGCAUCGCUAGAGUACGGUAGAGGGGGAUGGAAUUCCGCGUGUAGCAGUGAAAUGCGUAGAUAUGCGGAGGAACACCGAUGGCGAAGGCAAUCCCCUGGACCUGUACUGACGCUCAUGCACGAAAGCGUGGGGAGCAAACAGGAUUAGAUACCCUGGUAGUCCACGCCCUAAACGAUGUCAACUGGUUGUUGGGUCUUCACUGACUCAGUAACGAAGCUAAACGCGUGAAGUUGACCGCCUUGGGGAGUUGGCCGCAAGGUUGAAACGUCAAAAGAGAGUUAGAGNGNGAGAGNGCGAGGACGACGACGAGGAGAG
rnacentral:rRNA from 1 species